GAUCUUGCAAGCUGUCUCUGGCUUUGUCUUGGGCUGUGUGGAGGAAUCCACUUUGUAUGGAGAAUGAAGCUGACGGGUAGAGAGAAGUAGAGCUUCCGAGAAACUCAGAGUCAAACUUGAAUUCCACCACUGCAAAGAGCACAGGACCCUGAGGCAAACGUUGUAUAUUCCCAAGUCAUCCCUGGCACCACCUUCAUUUACUGCACCAGGCUUUCUUCACUGUGAUGAUGUUCUCUCUCUCUCUUUUAAUCCUGUUUUACUCUGCACAUUUCUGCAAGCCACAAAAGUACUCCUUGAAGAAUGGAUAACAUAUAAACAAGUGAACAAACAAAUCAGACAGGUAAUUGAUAGAAAUAACUUGUUUUAAAAUACUUUUACCUCCUUUUUGGAGUUGGGAAAGGAGUAAUCUUGCCUUGUCUGUCUUUAAAUGGCUGUGUUUGCAAACUAACAUCUGCUAGGUUAAGUGAAGAACGUGUUUUUAAGUGACCAUUGGUAUUUUUAAUUUCUGAUGAAGGUGACUUUUGGCCUUCUUCCAAGUGAUGUGCCAUGAAGAACUUCUACUGAGUUCUACAAGAGCAUUCUGGGAGUGUUUCCCAAGACAAAGCUGACUUCUAGGUAGCUAUGGGGAGUGCCUACAAGCCUGGG
rnacentral:lncRNA from 1 species